GACGAACGCUGGCGGCGUGCUUAACACAUGCAAGUCGAACGGAAAGGCCCUGCUUUUGUGGGGUGCUCGAGUGGCGAACGGGUGAGUAACACGUGAGUAACCUGCCCUUGACUUUGGGAUAACUUCAGGAAUCUGGGGAUAAUACCGGAUAGGAGCUCCUGCUGGAUGGUGGGGGUUGGUAAGUUUCGGCUGUUGGGGACGAGCGCGCGGUUUAUCAGCUUGUUGGGGGGGGGGUGGCUAUCGAAGGCUGUGGCGGGUGGCCGGCCUGGGAGGGUGACCUGCCACAUUGGGACUGAGAUAAGGCCCAGACCCCUACGGGAGGAAACAGGGGGGAAAAUUGCAAAAUGGGCGGAAGCGUGAUGCAGCAACGCCGCGUGCGGGAUAACGGCCUUCGGGGUGUAAACCGCUUUCUCCUGUGACGAAGCGUGAGUGACGGUAAUGGGUAAAGAAGCACCGGCUAACUACGUG
rnacentral:rRNA from 1 species